rnacentral:rRNA from 1 species
CUACGGGGCGCAGCAGUGAGGAAUUUUGCGCAAUGGGGGUAACCCUGACGCAGCAACGCCGCGUGAGUGAUGAAGGCUUUCGGGUCGUAAAGCUCUGUCAAGUGGGAAGAAUAUACGAAAUGCUAAUACCAUUUUGUACUGACGGUACCACUGAAGGAAGCACCGGCUAACUCCGUGCCAGCAGCCGCGGUAAUACGGGGGGUGCAAGCGUUAUUCGGAAUUAUUGGGCGUAAAGCGCACGUAGGCGGCCGCUUAAGUCAGAUGUGAAAGCCCGGGGCUCAACCCCGGAAGUGCAUUUGAAACUAAGUGGCUUGAGUAUGGGAGAGGGAAGUGGAAUUCCUGGUGUAGAGGUGAAAUUCGUAGAUAUCAGGAGGAACACCGGUGGCGAAGGCGACUUCCUGGACCAAUACUGACGCUGAGGUGCGAAGGCGUGGGGAGCAAACAGGAUUAGAUACCCCUGUAGUC